AGAGUUUGAUCAUGGCUCAGGAUGAACGCUAGCGACAGGCUUAACACAUGCAAGUCGAGGGGCAGCGAGGGAGUGGCAACACUUCUGUCGGCGACCGGCGCACGGGUGAGUAACGCGUAUGCAACCUGCCCUUCACAGGGGGAUAACCGGGAGAAAUUCCGACUAAUACCGCAUACGUCCUCCGGGGGCAUCCUUGGGGGAUGAAAGAGUUAUCGGUGAAGGAUGGGCAUGCGUGAUAUUAGGUAGUUGGCGGGGCAACGGCCCACCAAGCCCACGAUAUCUAGGGGUUCUGAGAGGAAGGUCCCCCACAUUGGUACUGAGACACGGACCAAACUCCUACGGGAGGCAGCAGUGAGGAAUAUUGGUCAAUGGACGAGAGUCUGAACCAGCCAAGUCGCGUGAAGGAAGACGGAUCUAUGGUUUGUAAACUUCUUUAGUGCGGGAACAAAGCGGCGUCGAGACGCCUGAUGAGUGUACCGCAAGAAUAAGCAUCGGCUAACUCCGUGCCAGCAGCCGCGGUAAUACGGA
rnacentral:rRNA from 1 species